UCUCCUCAUUCUCCUAUCCUUCUCUCUCUAGAAGGCUUCUCCAAUGAGGGAUUAAAGGGAUUUGAAGCUUGGAAAUUGGGGAUUUUUGUGAAGAGCUAGUCCAAGAGCAAGAGGAAGUUGUUGAAGCAAGAACCUAAGCCCCAAUUGGAGAAUAAAUCGACGCGUUGGGAGACUCGGAUCGAGAUUCUGACAAGUUUACAUUGAGUUAUUGAGGAAAAACCUCGUUUCGACUUCGUUUGUCGUGGGGCGAGAGGAGUGAUUGUUCAUAAAUCGUGGGAAGUGGUUUUCUCGCAUUCCGGCAUCACUUGAAGAUCCUAGUGCGAGCGGAGCGAUCGAGGAUCGGAGCAAGGGUAUUGCGCCCUAGAUAGCGGGCCUCUGUUGAGUAUAGCAUGCACCCGGUUUAUGUUUAUUUUGGUAGCUUGAUGAAAAGUAUCAUGUAAAUUAACUAUAUGACAUAGACAUGAUGUAUGUAUUUGGAGAACUAUGGUGUAAUUUUUGG